rnacentral:misc_RNA from 1 species
GUGACAGUCGAAAUAAUGCAUGCAAUGUGGAAACCGCAAAAGUUCAAGCUGAUAUACCUUAUGGCAACUCUAUAUGUUCUCACCCUCACCCUACCGUCAGCAGCCACCGUUUACUGGGCCUUCGGCGAUAUGCUCCUCAACCACUCCAAUGCUUUCGCUCUACUGCCGAGAACCGGUUUCAGAGAUACUGCUGUCAUUCUCAUGCUCAUCCAUCAAUUCAUAACCUUCGGAUUUGCGU